AUUUUGGUCGAUCUACCAAAGAGAAAACUUCUGUAACUUUCGUCGAUGCAAUUGACAUACCUAUGGAAUAUGCAGGACAUUGCAAAAACCAUAACUGUACACGUGAAGAGAGAUGUUUUACAGAUAAAAGUCUCAAUGUUCUAUGCUUACCGUUAAACAUAGAAUGUGGAAGCGGAAUAGAAGAAAUUCCAAAUGCAUCCUGGAAGAACGAAGGUUCGUUGAUGGGAAACGAAACGUAUUACACAUGUGAAAAUAAAACAGUUCAUUUACCAGAAAAAUGCAACAGAAAUAUUUGUGUAAAUUCAACUGCUCCCUGGAAAGUUAUAACUGACGUUGCAUGUCAACCAAAUGGAAGA